GCUCCUUUCUGCUCACAGAAGAAAUGGGGAGCAUUUCAGCCUAAAUAAUCCUCAGAUCAUCUUGUGAAGAACUACCACCAUUUUAAAGGAUUCACAGACCAGGAUGCUCUGGAACCGAGAGAGCCUCACAUGGAGUCUGGCUCAAAACAUUAGUAAGGAGGAGCUGUUUGGUACGACUUUAAAUUGUCUUGUAAUUAUGGAGACAUGGUUAAAGGAUCCCUGCCUGAUUCAGUUCUCAUGAAGGACCUUCUCUGAGGGUGAAGCAGGACUGUACAGUGAUGGAGACUAUUGUCUGUUGGGCCCCUGCUUCAUUUGUUGCAGAAGCCUGGAAGGUGUGUGGUGAAUUAGGCAAGAGAUUGCAGGAAGAGACAGUAUGGUCUCAUAGUUAAGGCAGUUGAUGCUGCCCUGAGAACUGGACUCUAGCUCUGCCUCUGUUACAGAGUUCCUGCGUGGUACUCAGCAAGUCACUUAACCAAACUUUUCAUAAGUGGUUAUUAAGGCAUGUGUUCCUCACGUUCUGGGUGACCGAAUUGAGUUCUUGGGGUCUGAUUUGCAGAAGUGCGGGGCAUUCACAGCUGCAACUCAAGUCAAUGGGAGCUGUGCUUUGAACAUACUAAGUGCUAUGUAAUUCGAAGUACUCUGAAAAAAUCAAGUCCUAGGGAUCUCCAACUGGGCAAAAUUAUUGGAUAUUUUUUACCUUAAUCUCACCGUAUUUCAGUUCCCCAGCUGUGCAAUGGGGAUAUUAAUACCCGCUUGUCUCAAGAGUGUUGAGAAAAUAAAUUCAUUAAUGUUUGUGAAGCACUCAGAUAUGUGUGAUAUCUGUGAUGAACACCAAAGAAAAGCACACGAAGAAAUAAAUAAUUCAGUCUUCAGAGCAGAGUUUGAAUAGCAUGGAGUAAAUAAGGCCUAUGGCCACACGUUGAACAAUGAGAAAAAAAUAAAAUAUUGAAUAGCUGCUCACUAGGUAAGCACUGUCCAUUCUACACCGUGAAUGAGCCAGGAGUCCUGUAGAAAAAAU